UACAACCCAUAGGAAUGUCACAUAAUUCAUAAUAGUGUGUUCCCGGUGUCAGAUAAAAAAUUGUAAAAAUGUCCCCUACUCUUCAAUAGUUUCUACUGUUGUCCAGCAUUUUUAUUUUAAACCUGAUAUCUCGAUAUUUAUCACCAACCUAAAAUUUGGUCUAAGACUUACUAUAGUCAGUCCUCACUUCUAUCAACUGUGUAGGUAAUUUUUUACUAUAGUAAAUGUGAUCAGGUAC